rnacentral:rRNA from 1 species
AUGCUCAUCCACGAAUUCAACCUCAUUGACAACGCUGAAGAUGACAUUUUCUGGAAGCACUCUGCGGAUGCACUACACGCAGCUUCUGCCUACAAAGCGCAAUUCUUGGAAAUGACUCUCUCCCCCAUGGACCAAAUGACCUGGAAAGUUUGGCCACCUAAAGUCAAGUUCUUUGCUUGGUUAGCCAUCCAAAACCGUAUCUGGACCGCCGAUCGAUCGGCCAACCGAGGUUGGCCAAAUUGUGGCCUUUGCACGGUAUGCAAACGAGAGCAAGAAAUGGGUGGGCGUCUAGUCUACAACUGUCGCUUUACCAUUAGACUAUGGAAGUUAGUCAUCGAGAAACUUGGUCUACAGUACCUUAACACCUCUUCAUGGCACUUGGAGGACUCCGUUGAGUCAUGGUGGGAUCAUCGGACCUGGCUAUCCAUUCCAAACCGGAAGGCCAUGGCCUCCCUCACCAUGCUCGUCUCUUGGGCAAUAUGGAAUGAGCGGAACUCCCGGGUCUUCCACCACAAGAGCGCUCCGCCGACGAUCCUACUCCACAAGACAGUUUGCUCCUUGUGUAUUAGAUGCAAUUUGCUCCUUCUUGUAGAUACAAUUUGCACCUUCUUUUAG